AUUUGUCCCGGGAGGUUUUCGGGUGAGGCGCUGAAUUUCGGGAGUCUCCCGGAAAAUUCGGGAGGGUUGGCAAGUAUGAGUUAGCUCCAUCUUUUGACACUUCUUCCACUCCCGUCCUUGCACGCUACACCACUACAACAAAGAUGACGGCGAGAAGACGCUGCCGAAGGUGAGCCACGUAAAUAAGACCGCCCACAAAACGGCGCAUCUGGUAGCGACUGUCAGAAAGCGACUUGAAGAUGAUCUGUAAAACUUCAUCUAUGCAACAUUUUGACCAAAGAACCACCAUUACAUGUUAUGUAGACCACAAGGAAGCCUUUUACAUUUAGGAAAAAAUAUAUAUUAUAUGACCCUUUUAAUGCGCCCUAUAAUCUGGUGCGCCUUUUGUAUGAAAAUAGACCUGACUACACUCUUAAAAACGAAUGUGUUGGACAUCAACACGUUUUGUGUAAUGAUGAUUUCAACAAAUGUUGUGUUAAGUCACAGGAUUUUCCUGAGGGGAAAGUUACACAGACAUUCUACACAACAUUGUGUCAUGAGCUUUGGCCAAUCAGCUGGAAUGUUUGAAAAAAAAAAAAAAAAAGUCAGCUACAUCAAACUCGACGUUUUAAGCACGUUUGCCCGCCCGUCCCGCCUUUUCCUGGAUCUAUGUGGCCAUUACCGGACCUGCGACUGUAUCAGUCCACAUUUCUUAAUGAAGGUGUAGAUUUGUUUUAAAAUCACACUGAUCAAGAGUGAACAUUUGCAACGGAACUUGUGAUGUGUUGCCCUCCAAAAAGUGGAAGCAACACUCAAGGCAGGCAAAGAAGGCACUACAUUGCAAUGUUGGUUCCUGUAAAAUUUGGUCAAACCCAGAGAUACGUUAGAGUGGCUGAAACUGAAGGGGGCUUUGACCAUUUUGGCACGUUUAUUGAGAAGGUCAUAGAUAAGCUGGGUCUUCCACUUGAGACUCAGCUUUCAUUGACCAAUGGGACGGGAACAGAAGUGGAUGCUGAUGUGUUUGAGGACCUGUUAAAAAUGGCAAACCUUACCAUAAAUGUGUCUGCAGAAAGGUCAACAGGUAAGCUGACAACUGCUGUUAAAAUUUACCAGUAUAUACACUUUCCUUUCGUCUUCUAGUUGAUUUUUCAAUUAAGCUUGGCUUUUUGUUUUGCAGGUUUGUUUCCACAAGUUAGCUAACAUUACUAAGGUAAGGCUUGAUAGUAAGAAGGUAUCCACAAUGUCAAUUAAACUGUUUGACAAAACUGCACUGGUUGACUUUAAAACUAUUCAUGGUUUCUUUUGGGUAUGUUAUCAUCUCAAUUUUAAAUUCCCUUUUUUAAGUUUUUAAUCUGUCCAUAUGUUGCAUAGGUAUUAAAGGCCAUUUCCAGUCAUAGUCAAUGUUGUUUCAGAAAUCAAGUCAGUUAAUCUCAUGCCAUGUAAACAUAUUUGCACUGGACUAAUAAUGGAUCAUAGUGGUUCAAAAUGUCUUAAAAUGUAGCCUGUUCAAACUAUGUGUAUUAUAAUUUCUGUUAGGCUAUGAUUAAAUUUUUAUUAUUUUACACUAAGUGCUGCUUUGACUCUUUUUCUUGUUAAACUUGCACGUGAACUUCUUUUUGGACAAUUUUGCAGCCGAAUACGCCAAAUUCAUAUAACAUGACAUAGACCAACGUAUGACUCAGAGUCAUAUAACUUGGUUUUCAGCUAUAAGGUGUAAUGCAAUCGCCGCUCGUGUUGAUUACCAAACCGUAUCUUAGAACCGUAGGCUGAACAGCUAUAAG